AACACAUGCAAGUCGAACGAAGUAGCAAUACUUAGUGGCAGACGGGUGAGUAACAUGUGGGUAUCUACCCUUUGGCCUGGAAUAACACGAGGAAACUUGUGCUAAUACCGGAUAAGUCUUUACGGAGAAAGCUUUAUGCACCAUUGGAUGAGCCCGCACUUGAUUAGUUUGUUGGUAGGGUAAUGGCCUACCAAGACUAUGAUCAAUAGCUGAUUUGAGAGGAUGAUCAGCCACAUUGGGACUGAGACACGGCCCAAACUCCUACGGGAGGCAGCAGUGGGGAAUCUUGCACAAUGGAGGAAACUCUGAUGCAGCGAUGCCGCGUGAGUGAAGAAGGCCUUUGGGUUGUAAAGCUCUUUCGUCGGGGAAGAAAAUGACUGUACCCGAAUAAGAAGGUCCGGCUAACUUCGUGCCAGCAGCCGCGGUAAUACGAAGGGACCUAGCGUAGUUCGGAAUUACUGGGCUUAAAGAGUUCGUAGGUGGUUGAAAAAGUUGGUGGUGAAAUCCCAGAGCUUAACUCUGGAACUGCCAUCAAAACUUUUCAGCUAGAGUAUGAUAGAGGAAAGCAGAAUUUCUAGUGUAGAGGUGAAAUUCGUAGAUAUUAGAAAGAAUACCAAUUGCGAAGGCAGCUUUCUGGAUCAUUACUGACACUGAGGAACGAAAGCAUGGGUAGCGAAGAGGAUUAGAUACCCUCGUAGUCCAUGCCGUAAACGAUGUGUGUUAGACGUUGGAAAUUUAUUUUCAGUGUCGCAGGGAAACCGAUAAACACACCGCCUGGGGAGUACGACCGCAAGGUUAAAACUCAAAUGAAUUGACGGGGACCCGCACAAGUAGUGGAGCAUGUGGUUUAAUUCGAAGAUACGCGCAGAACCUUACCAACACUUGACAUGUUCGUCGCGACUCUAAGAGAUUAG
rnacentral:rRNA from 1 species